GGCUGGGUAGCAAAAGGUCACUGCGCCGGAGUGCAUAUCCGGAAAUCCAGGUUCAAGUCCUGGCCCAGCCUCCA
rnacentral:tRNA from 1 species